GGGAAAUCUUCAACCCUCCUUGAUUCCAGGAAAAUCUUUAUCCCUUCCUAAGAAAAGCGAGGUACAAGUUCAAUCUCUGAAGAUGAUGGAGGAAUAUAUCUACGCUUGAAUCCAUCUGGAGUUACAACUUUACACCUCUCUCUUCAAAGUCCUCUUUCCCAAGACAGGCGCCCCUUUCUAGGGUCAUUCAUUCUAAAAUCUAUGUGUAAUUCCAGCCUAUUUGAACUGGAAUAGGAGUAAUCAACCAAAUCAGUGUUGUUUUCAACAGUAAGCUCUAAAGAUGAGAUAUAUUUUAAUAAACAUGUAUCUUUUUUAUUAUA
rnacentral:lncRNA from 10 species